rnacentral:lncRNA from 1 species
UGGGCGAUACAUCAUAAGUUGAGUUGGUUAAACAUAAACAUCAAUAGACAUUAAGAUCAUGUAUCAACAAGGGAUUACAAUACUCAUAGGGUCAAGCACAACUAUAACCUCAAUAUACUUCAUUACAUAACAUACUAUAAUCUCUUACAUUACAUAUCUAUACAUCAUUAUACAAUUUGUCAUGUCCACAUUCUAACUAUUACAUAAACAUGUACUUCAAACUUUGGCUAACCUCCUGGUCUACCCUGUACCUGCACAUCUGGGGUUAGGGGAGAGGGGUGAGCUACAAAGCCCAGUGAGCAGAAUAGUAAAGCAUUUAAAACAUAUGAUAACAUGAAAUGCAUCACAUCACAGCUAAUCACAUCAAGGAUGAAUUUGUCACCAAUAGUCCUCUACACAUUCCAAUAGUGCCAGGGGCGUAGAAUGGGCCUCACUGGUCAUUCUCUUACAUACAUAACAUAACAUAACAUUCCAUAGUGCCAGGGGCGUAGAAUGGGCCUCACUGGUCUUUCCCUUACAUAGUGCCAGGGGCGUAGAAUGGGCGUCACUGGUCUUCCGUACCGUAUCAUCAUCAUAUCAUAACAUAGGAGGACUAAAGGAUCAUUCAACAUUCAUCCGCAUCAUCAACAUAAUAUGCAAUGCAACAUAUUCGUGAAUUCUAAUGCAAGCACCCUAUUAUAUCUCAUGGCAUUCAUGAUGCGUGAAUCAUGCUAAAACUGAUUUAUUUAUUUAAAAGCAUAAGAGUUAUUCCACUCACCUCUGGGUAGCUCUGACCAGACACUGGGGCAGCAGACUCACUGCUGGGGUCCUCGAUUCCUCGGGU